ensembl:lncRNA
CUUUCGUUAAUUUGAAAAAGAGAAGACGAUCUAAAUAGCCUACUAGUUACUCAUUUAUUAUUAUUAUUAUUAGGCUAGUUGUUGUUGUAGUCUUUAACAGAUGGGACAUGUUCAUAAAACAAUCUAAAUCGCUAACUAGCCUACUGAGUGGUGCGUUUCCCAAAAGAAACUAUGGUCGCAAGUUCCGUCGCUGCCAAUGGAACUAACCACAUAACUCACCCCAUAAUUUGAGUUUCUUGAAAAUAUCAAGCCUGACAUCUAGUGGUAAACCGUAGAGUAAUUUACACAAAACAGGCAGCAUAUUAUUCUCAAAAUAAUAAUUAACUCUUGAAAUAAAUAUAAUCUCUGAAAAACACUACAAAAUAGUCGUAUGGACUACAAAAAGGCGCGUCAACGUCAUUGGUUCGCGUGACCAGCCGCUAUUGACGACUUUGAUUUUAAAGUGUGGAUGGGAUUUUCAUUAAAUAAAACAGUUUAUAUUUAAUGUACUACGCGAAAGCGUAUCAUAUAACUUUAGAAGAUUUUGAAAAUAGCGCACAAGUCUAUUAGACUACUAUGCAUGUUUUGGAGGUGGUCACUGCUCACUCUCAUUAUAUUAGCAUUAGCGUCCUGACAAAUUCCCUUUUUGUACACCAUAUGGAAGAGAGUAGGUUAGAACGAUGUGAUGAAAACGAACAAGCAUUGAGCGCUAGAUGGCAAUAAAGAGCCAUGAUAAGGACUUGACCAUGCUUACUGUGAGGAUGGAACAACUUGUAAGGAAGUGCAGGAAUGAAGAUAAAUCAGAUAAUCGAGAUAAAAGACUGAAUGACCACAACAGGGAGAAAGAGAGAGGCAAGCAGGCAGACAGACAGAGCAAGAGAGACAGUGGGCCAACUCUAAAGUUCAAGAUUCAUGCUGUGAAGAAGUUUCAAACCUAUAUGAGCCCCUUGGGAACUACACUCUUUUAAAUCUUUCGGAAGCUCUUUGACCUCACUGUUCAAGCUUUCAGAGGGAUAAAAGGGCUGUUCUGCAACACUUCUAUUGAAUGAGAAUCUCACCUCACCAUCUAUUUUGGCGCUAUAGGAAUUCCAGCUCAGAUCUGAGAG